rfam:Gossypium hirsutum cultivar TM-1 chromosome 16, whole genome shotgun sequence
AAUUCGUGGUGUGGGUAUUUUUGAAUCAACAUUUUGAAAUAUUCCCACACCUCGUAGAAACUUUCUCCCUCCAUCUAUCUAAAGGCAAUAAUCUCUCUUCUUAGUU